UUGGUGCAACGAGGGGCUACAUGCCCCUUAAAAUGCAAUUGCGCCCUCCAUUAUUAUAAAACAUAUUCGAUUCCGCCAUGUCAGUUACAAUGGUAGAAAUUAGGAGGUAAGUCAUAACUCCGAGGAAAACUCCUUUUAAUGCUAAUCACUUGGGUUGGUUGCACCAAAGAAUUGUCUCGAGAAGAAUGUGUGCUAUCAAUCAUGUUCACACCACUCAGAAGUGCUGAAAACUAAGCAUACUAUUAUUGACAAAGAUUGCUGAUGAAAUAUUAGAAUGAUUAAGCGCAGCAAACUUUGAAACCACUUUAACCCUAAACUUCAUGACGUGGGUGGAUAGAUUGCCUGGUGAUAUUUUUGAAUCAGUGAUAUUCUACAGCUAUUAUAUAGAGAAACUUGAGUAACAGAUAUUUAUAGCUUUUAAUGAUGAGUGCUUAAUUUGCAAGACUCUGCUUACUGAUAGUUAUUGUGAUGCUUAGGUUGGGGGCCUAGGCAUUUCCCAGGGGGUUUAACUAUUUAUAGGGUACAUACAGGCUCCAAUAAUAGCGGCGGCUGUUAUUGUGUAAUGCCCUUGCCUGCCCGUACCUGGUUGAUAUUACACUAGGGUCCUCAUUGCAGUGGAUUUCAAGGGAAAAAUGAUGUACUUUGAUUUGAGCUUGCUUUUUUAUACUGUCUCAAGGGUUGUCUGUUGAACUCUUCCUUCAGGAGGUGAUCAUAAACCUUCCCUAUGAUGCUGCCUAGCAUUAUUUAUAGUAUCUUUACGGACUUCUAAAGUUCAAUAGACUCCUGGUGGUACUUCGGGUCUCUCACUUCUUCUUCAAUCAAUUCAAAAAACUUUGAUGGAAUUGACUAUGCAUCAUACAGGAUUGAUAUCCUCGAUAUACUGGCUUGCGGCGUGAAAGGGGGGCUGAUAGAGGGAGGUUUUGACAACAGUCAAAAGAGUCAAGAGAUAGCAAAAUGACGGGCCGG
rnacentral:sRNA from 2 species